CCCUUUAUCUGCCAUUUGAAGUUGCCGUAGCUUCCUCUCUUCUCAACCAUGCGAGCCCCAUUUCCGACCAGCAACGGCGAUGUGAGGGCACUCCGACGACACCCCAACGUGGGUAGUUGCUGUGCGUUCGUGCACGGAGAUAGUUGCUGCGACGUGGGACAAUGGUGGCGUCGAUCUGCUGCUAACGUAAAUUGAAAGCUCGUUGGGUUGGAAGCUUGGCGGAGAUCACUCACACUAUCCACCGGCCCAUUUCAGUACAAAUAUAAAACUAAUUUUGGUUGUAAUGGCAUGUAUAAGCUAACUUGGCCAAUGUUGGCAUAUAAAUGUUAUGGUUGUAAAUAGCCAUUGGAAUGACUUAUGAGGAAUAUGUUUUGAUAUAUAUAUAGUAGAUUUACUUGAAAAA